AGUUUUAAUCAGCCUUCAAACAUCAGAGGAAGAAUGAGUUAAUUUCCUUGAAGUUUAUUGACUGUUACUGGUGGCACAGAAAAUUCCAUAAAAGAGCAGAUUCCAUAUGGAACAACAGGAUGGGCCGUCUGAGCUGCUUGAACAUCUUGGAGCCUCGGUUGGUAAGCAGCGACAACUCCUCCAACAUCACAUCCCUUGGGACACUGAUCUUCUUGCCUAGGUUCAGGCCGGAGCUCUCCCGUCCGCCUUAUCCAGGAGGUGGAGAAGAGGAAAUUAAGGCUUUCUGAACUCAAGAGUAGAACCACCACCCACAGCUGAGUCUAUAAUCAAAGAGAUCAUUUAGGGGCAAGAUGCUGUUAUCUGACCAAGGUCUAUCUAGUUUAUGAGAAGUUUUUGUCUUAUUUGUGUAUCUUUUAAAUUUUUUAAGAGAUUUGUUUGUGUUUUA